UCCCCGUUCACCGGGGCAGUCCCCUCAGAGUGCCCGGCUUCACCCGGUAGCAACAGAGGGCGAGGGUUGCGCUCGUUGCGGCACUUAAGCCAACACCUCACGGCACGAGCUGACGACAGCCAUGCAGCACCUGUGCUAGCCCCUUACGGACACGCGCUUUCACGCGCUUUAACUAGCAUGUCAAGCCUAGGUAAGGUUCUUCGCGUUGCGUCGAAUUAAACCACAUGCUCCACCGCUUGUGCGGGCCCCCGUCAAUUCCUUUAUGUUUUAGUCUUGCGACCGUACUCCACAGGCGGGAUACUUAACGCGUUAGCUUCGCUACUGUAGGGGUCGAUACCUCCAACAGCUAGUAUCCAUCGUUUACGGCGUGGACUAC
rnacentral:misc_RNA from 1 species